GUCUCACUAGAAUUAAUUAGAAGUAUAUUUUGGUGCUAGAGAAUUGUAAGAAUUUCUGAUUUUGGUGGCUCCCAUGGAGGAGCGAGCUUCAUUCAUCUAUAUAUGUUUACUGUCCAGUAGCCAUGACAACCGCCGGGGGAGGCAUGGCAUGACCUGCAAAUUUAUUCCGUUAUGGCAAGGUGGAGCGCCCUUUUCCGGGAUACAGCUGCAUGAACUGCUUCCAGAAGGAGGCACAGUACCUGAAUUCAGAGACUGUAAAGGGACAAGUCCUAUCUUGAUCCACUCUUCUUUCUCCCCAUCAAGAACCCUACCAGCACUGUGUGGCUGGACGCUCAGAACAAGAACGAAGUGCCGUGACAGCUAAAACAAUGUCCAGAAACCUCAUGAUCUUGGCGGGUUAAGCAAAGAGGAGAUGAUCAAAGAAAUAUUUUUAGCUGGACAAAUUAAUAUGCAUAUAUGAUAAAUGAAAAAGAAUCACUAUCUCGGUUAUUCGAUUAAAAGGGUUUUUGACAAAAAUACUCUUAUUAUUUUCUUGUAAAAAUAACUUUCUUUUAAAACAGGUUACUUUAAAUACUUGAAAUGGUAGAAGGCAUUAAUGUAAAAUAAUAAUAAUAAUAAUAAUAACAGGUUACUUUUUUUAAAAAAAAAACAACAUGGGAAUGGUUAAAUUCACGAUUUAAAAAUUAAUUCAAUGCUUAACUAAACAAGUGGCUCUAAAUGCCUAAGUGAAAAAGUGGCUCUAAACGCAUAAUUGAGAAUGUGCCUCUAAACACCUAAUUGAGAAAGUGGCUUUGAACACCUAAUUAAGAAAGUUACUCUAAAAGCUUAACUGAGAAAGUGGCUAUGAACACCUCAGUGAAAAAGUGACCUUGAAUGCCUAAUUGAGAAAGUCGCUUUGAAGGCCUAACUGAGAAAGCGACUCUAAACGCCUAAGUGAGAAAGUGGUGUUGAAGGCCAAAGUGAGACGGUUGCUUUGAACACCUAACUCAACAAGUGGAUCUAAACACCUAAGCGAGAAAGUGGCUAUGAACGCCUAAUUGAGAAUGUGCCUAUGAAUGCCUAACUGAGAAUAUGCCUCUAAACUCCUAACUGAGAAAGUUGUACUAAACGCCUAAUAGAGAAAGUGGGUGAGAACGACAAAGUGAGAAUGUUGUUCUAAACUUCUAAUUGAGAAAGUGGCUCAGAACACUUAACUAAGAAAGUCACUCUGAACGCCUAAGUGAGAAAGUGGUUGUGAAUGCCAAAGUGAGAAAAUGACUCUGAACACCUAACUGAGCAAGUGACCCUUAACUCCUAAGUGAGAAAGUGACUCUGAAUGCCUAGUUGAGAAAGUGGCCUUGAAUGCGUAAUUGAGAAAGUCACUCUAAACAUCUAACUAAGAAAGUCACUAUAAAGGCCUAAGUGAGAAAAUGGCUCUCAACGCCUAACUGAGAAAGUGGCUCUCAACGCCUAAGUGAGAAAGUGUCUUUGAUCACUAAGGUGAGAAAGUGGCUCUAAACGCCUAAGUGAGAAAGUGGCCUCGAACACCUAAGUUAGAAGGUGACUCUAAAUGCCUAAGUGUGCAAGUGGCCCUGAACACUUAACUGAGACAAUGGCUUUGAACGCCUAACUAAGAAAGUGGUGAUGAAUUCCUAAAUGAGAAAGUAGUUCUUAAGGCCAAAAUAAGUCACUGGCUUUGAACGCCUAAUUGAGCAAGUGGCUAUGAACGACUAAAUGAGAUAGUGGUUGUGAGCGCCUAAGUGAGAAAGUGUCUGAAUGCCUAAUUGAGAAAGUGGCUCUAAAUGCCUAUGUAAGAAAGUGGUUGUGAAGGCCAAAGUGGGAAAAUGGCUUUGAACGCCUAACUAGACUAGUGGCUUUGAACGCCUAAUUGAGCCAGUGGCUCUAAACAUCUAAGUGAGAAAAUGGGUAUAAAUGCCUAAGUGAGAAAGUGCCUCUGAACACCUAACCAAUAAUGUGCAUUUGAAUGCCUAAUUGAGAAAGUGACUUUAAACACCUAAUCGAGAAAGUGGUUCUGACCGCCUAACUGAGAAAGUCGCUCUAGACGCCUAACUAAGAAAGGGGUUGUGAACGCCUAAGUGAGAAAGUGGCUUUGAAGGCCUAACUAUGCAAGUGGCUUUGAAUGCCUAAGUGCGUGAGAAAGUGGCUCUAAAUGGCUAAGUGAGAAAGUGGCUCUAAACACUUAAUUGAGAAUGUGCCUCUAAACGCCUUACUAAGAAUGUGCCUUUGAACGCCUAACUGAGAAUGUGCCUCCAAAUGCCUAAAUGAGCAAGUGGCUCUGAAUGCCUAAGUGAGAAAGUGGCUCUAAAUGCCUAAAUGAGAAAGUGGCUCUAAAUGCCUAAAUGAGAAAGUGGCUCAGGAUGCCUAAUUGAGAAUGUGCUUCUAAACGCCUAAUUGAGAAAGUCGCUAUGAACUUCUAAGUAAGAAGUGGCUGUGAAGCCAAAGUGAGAAUAUGGCUCUAAAUGCCUCAUUGAGAAAGGGGCUCAGAACACCUAAUAGCGUUUUUUUUAUAAAUUAAUGGCAAAGUGAGAAGGGUUUCUUUGACUGUUGACGACUUACUAAUAGUGUUUUGCUUUGGGAGAUUGAAAAUUACUUCCUUUGUGGAUUACUUUUUAACAUGUACAUACAAAUGCCAAAGUGCAUUUGAAUAUAUUUAUAAAAAGGGUCUUAAAGAAGAAACUACGUCUGAAAUUACUAGAUUACUGUACACAUGGACAUGCAUCUUAUGACCUUUUUGAACAUAAAAAAUUAUAUAUAUAUAUAUAUAUAUAUAUAUAUAUAUAUAGAUAUAUAUUUAUUUAUGUGUGUUUCAGCAAGCUGGCUAAACCUAUUAGGAGUCACUCAUUGGUCGGCAUGUUUAAUUUUCUCCCUAUUGAAUUAGGUGCGCAUACUAGUUGGUAUAAGUCAUUUAAUAAAAAAAAUUAAGAAAUAUUUACAAACUAGGUUAGCAUUAAAUAUGAGUACACUGUCUGAUCUAGGCAUUUUGGAGAUUCUUUCUUAUAACUUGAACUUCCUUAAGGGGGCAUUAGUUUUGAAAAAUCAAUGAAGUUAUGGAUGAAGUGUUAAACACAAGCUCAAGGCUAUAUUUGAAGGAAAAUAUGAUGGGAAGAAAAAAGAAAUGAUAGAAAUAAAAUAAAUAAAUAAAUGAAGGAAAAUAAAAAAUAAAUUUAAAAUUUAUAAAUUAUUAUUAUACAUGCAUUAUUUAAAAUUUAUUUUACUUAUUUUAAUAUUAAAUAAUUUUAAAAUAUAUAAAUUUCUAACCAAUUUUAAUUACAGUUGGUUCUCUUUCAUAUUUUUCAUAUGGAAAAACCAAACAUGAUAAAAUUAUUUUCCUAAUCAUUUUCUUUCUUUCCUUGAUACUUAGACAAUUUUGAAUUUCUCAAAAUUCUAAGAUUUUUUUUGAAAGAUAUUAGACUCCUAAAUGCUUUUAAAAGAAUAUAUUCUUUAAAGAAUUAACCAUCUAAAAGUCUAUCUAUCCUUUGGACCAUAAUAUCCUAGUACAAAAAUUUCAAACAAAUUGAUUGAAAAUAGAGAUUAGCUUAGGUAUUUUUGAACCACAUGUGUUUCUUAAAGUUUUUUUAUGUCUUGGCUAGAUCUUGACCCCUUGUUAAUUUUACAUGUUAGUACACUGAAAAUAGAACCAAAUAGUAAAUUUCCACUUGAUUUUGAAUCUGUUUGCAUUAGGAAAGAAUUUGGUGAUAACACUCACCAUACUGCAACAACCUCAAGUCACAACAACUUACCUGCAAUAGAAAAAAUGGCUACACCAGAAGAAUCUUCAAG
rnacentral:lncRNA from 1 species